rnacentral:rRNA from 2 species
CAAUGCAUAGCUAAACCGAAGAUAAAGCGUCUCACUUACACCGAGAAGGUAUCCGUG